rnacentral:rRNA from 1 species
GCCGCGGUAUUUUGACCGUGCGAAGGUAGCAUAAUCAUUAGUCUUUUAAUUGAAGGCUUGUAUGAAGGGUUGGACGAGAAAUAAGCUGUCUUUAUUGGAAAAAUAGAAUUUAACUUUUAAGUGAGAGGGCUUAAAUGUUCUAAAGGGACGAUAAGACCCUAUAAAGUUUGACAUUUUAUUCGUUAAAAAAUAAAAUAAAUAAUUAAUUUUUAUUAGUGGAGUUAGUGUUUUGUUGGGGCGAUUAGAAUAUAAAAAAUUUAACUGUUUUAUAUUAAUACAAAGUUGUUUGAGUGUUUUGAUCCUUAAUAAAGGUAUUAGAGUAAAUUACUUUAGGGAUAACAGCGUAAUUUUUUUUGAGAGUUCUUAUCGACAAAAAAGUUUGCGACCUCGAUGUUGAAUUAAAGAAUUCUUUAUAGCGCAGAAGUUAUAAAAGAAGGUCUGUUCGACCUUUAAAUCUUUACAU